rnacentral:rRNA from 1 species
AGCUACAGGCUUAACACAUGCAAGUCGAGGGGCAGCAUGGUCUUAGCUUGCUAAGGCCGAUGGCGACCGGCGCACGGGUGAGUAACACGUAUCCAACCUGCCGUCUACUCUUGGACAGCCUUCUGAAAGGAAGAUUAAUACAAGAUGGCAUCAUGAGUCCGCAUGUUCACAUGAUUAAAGGUAUUCCGGUAGACGAUGGGGAUGCGUUCCAUUAGAUAGUAGGCGGGGUAACGGCCCACCUAGUCUUCGAUGGAUAGGGGUUCUGAGAGGAAGGUCCCCCACAUUGGAACUGAGACACGGUCCAAACUCCUACGGGAGGCAGCAGUGAGGAAUAUUGGUCAAUGGGCGAGAGCCUGAACCAGCCAAGUAGCGUGAAGGAUGACUGCCCUAUGGGUUGUAAACUUCUUUUAUAAAGGAAUAAAGUCGGGUAUGGAUACCCGUUUGCAUGUACUUUAUGAAUAAGGAUCGGCUAACUCCGUGCCAGCAGCCGCGGUAAUACGGAGGAUCCGAGCGUUAUCCGGAUUUAUUGGGUUUAAAGGGAGCGUAGAUGGAUGUUUAAGUCAGUUGUGAAAGUUUGCGGCUCAACCGUAAAAUUGCAGUUGAUACUGGAUAUCUUGAGUGCAGUUGAGGCAGGCGGAAUUCGUGGUGUAGCGGUGAAAUGCUUAGAUAUCACGAAGAACUCCGAUUGCGAAGGCAGCCUGCUAAGCUGCAACUGACAUUGAGGCUCGAAAGUGUGGGUAUCAAACAGGAUUAGAUACCCUGGUAGUCCACACGGUAAACGAUGAAUACUCGCUGUUUGCGAUAUACUGCAAGCGGCCAAGCGAAAGCGUUAAGUAUUCCACCUGGGGAGUACGCCGGCAACGGUGAAACUCAAAGGAAUUGACGGGGGCCCGCACAAGCGGAGGAACAUGUGGUUUAAUUCGAUGAUACGCGAGGAACCUUACCCGGGCUUAAAUUGCAGAUGAAUUACGGUGAAAGCCGUAAGCCGCAAGGCAUCUGUGAAGGUGCUGCAUGGUUGUCGUCAGCUCGUGCCGUGAGGUGUCGGCUUAAGUGCCAUAACGAGCGCAACCCUUGUUGUCAGUUACUAACAGGUUCCGCUGAGGACUCUGACAAGACUGCCAUCGUAAGAUGUGAGGAAGGCGGGGAUGACGUCAAAUCAGCACGGCCCUUACGUCCGGGGCUACACACGUGUUACAAUGGGGGGUACAGAGGGCCGCUACCACGCGAGUGGAUGCCAAUCCCCAAAACCUCUCUCAGUUCGGACUGGAGUCUGCAACCCGACUCCACGAAGCUGGAUUCGCUAGUAAUCGCGCAUCAGCCACGGCGCGGUGAAUACGUUCCCGGGCCUUGUACACACCGCCCGUCAAGCCAUGGGAGCCGGGGGUACCUGAAGUGCGUAACCGCGAGGAGCGCCCUAGGGUAAAACUGGUGACUGGGGCUAAGUA